GUUUGUUUUCAUAUUGUUCCCCAAAGUGGGGCCCUAACUUGUCUGUGUGCACGCAAGGAGCAAGGAUGUGCUUGCUUUUGAGAAAUGUGUGAAAAUGAGGUCAGCAAGUCUGACGCAAGGCCCUGCCUGUGAAGAUCUUGAAGCAAGACUGAAUUUGUGGGCCUGGGGACUGAACCCAGGCAUAACACUCAACCACCCCAGCCGCAGAGACUCAACCUUUGCAGUCACAGAGCUCACCCAGGUGCACGCCUCUUGAAUUCCCAGGGGCAGUCGGCUCCGAAGAGAAUCUGGAUAGAGGUAUCUGAGGAACACUGACCUGCAGGGCCUCUUUGCAGAACCCCUCAGAGGUGGACAGAAUGGAUGACCCUCUUCCCAAAUGCCACCUCCAGCUUCCAGCCCAGCAGGAGGCAGGAACACACAGCCUGGCUCUUCAGAGACCUCGGGGACACAGCCUCUAAGCCACCUCAGGGCUGGU
rnacentral:lncRNA from 1 species